AUCCAGCUGACGAGUCGUAAAUAGGACGAAACGCGCGUCCUGGAU
rnacentral:hammerhead_ribozyme from 1 species